rnacentral:rRNA from 1 species
UACGAAGGGGGCUAGCGUUGAUCGGAAUCACUGGGCGUAAAGCGCACGUAGGCGGCUUUCUAAGUCAGGGGUGAAAUCCUGGAGCUCAACUCCAGAACUGCCUUUGAUACUGGAGAGCUUGAGUUCGGGAGAGGUGAGUGGAACUGCGAGUGUAGAGGUGAAAUUCGUAGAUAUUCGCAAGAACACCAGUGGCGAAGGCGCCUCACUGGCCCGAUACUGACGCUGAUGUGCGAAAGCGUGGGGAGCAAACAGG